AUGAACGCUAGCUACAGGCUUAACACAUGCAAGUCGAGGGGCAGCAUGGUCUUAGCUUGCUAAGGCCGAUGGCGACCGGCGCACGGGUGAGUAACACGUAUCCAACCUGCCGUCUACUCUUGGACAGCCUUCUGAAAGGAAGAUUAAUACAAGAUGGCAUCAUGAGUCCGCAUGUUCACAUGAUUAAAGGUAUUCCGGUAGACGAUGGGGAUGCGUUCCAUUAGAUAGUAGGCGGGGUAACGGCCCACCUAGUCUUCGAUGGAUAGGGGUUCUGAGAGGAAGGUCCCCCACAUUGGAACUGAGACACGGUCCAAACUCCUACGGGAGGCAGCAGUGAGGAAUAUUGGUCAAUGGGCGAGAGCCUGAACCAGCCAAGUAGCGUGAAGGAUGACUGCCCUAUGGGUUGUAAACUUCUUUUAUAAAGGAAUAAAGUCGGGUAUGGAUACCCGUUUGCAUGUACUUUAUGAAUAAGGAUCGGCUAACUCCGUGCCAGCAGCCGCGGUAAUACGGAGGAUCCGAGCGUUAUCCGGAUUUAUUGGGUUUAAAGGGAGCGUAGAUGGAUGUUUAAGUCAGUUGUGAAAGUUUGCGGCUCAACCGUAAAAUUGCAGUUGAUACUGGAUAUCUUGAGUGCAGUUGAGGCAGGCGGAAUUCGUGGUGUAGCGGUGAAAUGCUUAGAUAUCACGAAGAACUCCGAUUGCGAAGGCAGCCUGCUAAGCUGCAACUGACAUUGAGGCUCGAAAGUGUGGGUAUCAAACAGGAUUAGAUACCCUGGUAGUCCACACGGUAAACGAUGAAUACUCGCUGUUUGCGAUAUACGGCAAGCGGCCAAGCGAAAGCGUUAAGUAUUCCACCUGGGGAGUACGCCGGCAACGGUGAAACUCAAAGGAAUUGACGGGGGCCCGCACAAGCGGAGGAACAUGUGGUUUAAUUCGAUGAUACGCGAGGAACCUUACCCGGGCUUAAAUUGCAGAUGAAUUACGGUGAAAGCCGUAAGCCGCAAGGCAUCUGUGAAGGUGCUGCAUGGUUGUCGUCAGCUCGUGCCGUGAGGUGUCGGCUUAAGUGCCAUAACGAGCGCAACCCUUGUUGUCAGUUACUAACAGGUUCUGCUGAGGACUCUGACAAGACUGCCAUCGUAAGAUGUGAGGAAGGUGGGGAUGACGUCAAAUCAGCACGGCCCUUACGUCCGGGGCUACACACGUGUUACAAUGGGGGGUACAGAGGGCCGCUACCACGCGAGUGGAUGCCAAUCCCAAAAACCUCUCUCAGUUCGGACUGGAGUCUGCAACCCGACUCCACGAAGCUGGAUUCGCUAGUAAUCGCGCAUCAGCCACGGCGCGGUGAAUACGUUCCCGGGCCUUGUACACACCGCCCGUCAAGCCAUGGGAGCUGGGGGUGCCUGAAGUUCGUGACCGCAAGGAGCGACCUAGGGCAAAACCGGUGACUGGGGCU
rnacentral:rRNA from 1 species